GUGUUCACUUUAGCAGCGCAUAUACUAAAAUUGGAAUGAUACAAAGAUUAGCAUGCCUCCUGCACAAGGAUGAUAUACAAAUUGCUGAAGCAUUCCGUAGUUUU